rnacentral:lncRNA from 1 species
CCCGCGGUGGGCAGAGCACAGGUAGCCCAUUGUGUAGCUUUGUGCUUAAUUACAAACAAACUUUAUUAUUAAGUGUUGCAUAAUCUGAGAACUUAUAGAAUACGUCUCUAAUUUUUACUGUUUUAUAAAAGUUCUGUUGGUUUCAGAUGCAAAUCGAACCAGCUUUUUCUAAACACCUGAGUUGUUACUGAAAAAGCAAAACAAAAAACGUUAACAAAAAUGUAUGCUGCUGUUGUACUGUACUCUAUAGGUCGUGUCAUCUAGUGUGUAACAUUCAAUAGUGAAUUGUUCUAGAAAGGAGAGGGCGCUUUGUCUCCGAUGGACAAGUUUCCAUCAAAGCUAUGGUUUGUGAUCAGUGCUGUUUUUGUUUUUUUGUAUUAGAAAACGUUUAAAAUUAUAGUUAGAUUAAUUCGAAAUGAUCGUUUACUGAAUAUUUCAAAUUCUUUUUAAUGAAGUAAAAACUACCCACGGUUAGCAAACAAACCUACUUCCACAUCACUGGCUGAAAACUCUUACAAACUGAAUGACUGAAGCAGUUGGUGUAUCGUGGGCAAAACUUUAUGAAAUCACGCUUACGAUCAGAAAUACUUCAUAUAAAAGUGUUUUACAAGGAAGAACUCAUAUACUGAAUAAUUUUGAGGUAGUUACAACCCUGUUUAUCUUCACGUCGCUUGUAUCGACUGCCAUGUUUAUGGUGUGGCCAUCCCUUACCGCCGGAAGAACUACAGCUUUUGUGCCCUAACUCGGUUUCCUCGAGUCUGUCAAAUCUUAGCACGGACUCUUCGUAGACGGUUCGGUUAGCGCGAGAUCACGCACGGUCGACUAGAUUUUGUUCCGUUCCAAUAGACACAGCUUUGCUACGCGAGGAAGCUUCCUUCGUCCCGAUGACAGUAAGGGAGGAAAGCACACGGGCUCUUGCCGACUCCCGCUCCUCCGAGCCUCUAGAAGCUCCUAAACGGAAACGAUGAGUAAGAAUGUCGUGAGUUUUCAUCUUUUUAUCUUUACCAAUUUCCACGCUCAUGCUUCUCCCACCCAGCCGUACCGAUAAUAUCAUUUCAACAUUAGCGUACGAGGCCAUAUUCGUGAGGGUGGUUUUAAUAAAAUGUUGUUUGAUAUUAUGAAUAGCAAAUCAAAAAGAAACUUGUGACAUUUGAUGACCAAAUCGAAUAUAACACUUCCACACUUUAUAGAACGCUAUUACUUACACAUCCGCAGUUUACGUUUUCUUGAGGCUCAGAUGAUAAGUUCAACAAGGCUUAAGUGAGCAUUUUAAACAUCGACUCUCGUAUAUCUUAUUUGUACUAAAAUUACCGUCAAUUACGUAUACAGGAAAACACAUAACCUUUUCGUACGAACAUUAUAACAUCUUCAUGACAAUUUCCUUAAUUAUAUGUUACAAGUUAUCUUCUCUUUCGACAAUAUAUUCUAUAUAUAAACGUAACAAUACAAACCACAAUAAAAAAUAGGGUGAGUGGGUCUUAGUUAACAUUAACAUUAAAACACACUUCUUCUGGGAAGUUUGAUCCAAGUAUUAACAGCACACAACAGUUUUAUAUUUAUGUAAUAACUAGUGUUUUAAACACCGGUAUGGUUAUGUUUAAUCGUUAUAUCCGAAAACAAAGAGAUUAACAGCACACAACAGUUUUAUAUUUAUGUAAUAACUAGUGUUUUAAACACCGGUAUGGUUAUGUUUAAUCGUUAUAUCCGAAAACAUAGAGAAAUGUUACGGUCAGAGAAAUACCCAAUUAUCCGAGCGCUUUCGGAAAAUUGACUUUUCUUCAUCAUGGAUAAAUGGCCACACAUACAGACACCUUACCGCCUGAAGAUCUGGGACCAUCUUCCAAAAAUGCUUGGGUUAUCGUGUUUCUUAAGUUGUGGUUUAUCUACUUUUUUUUUAUUCUACGUAUUUUUCGCAUCUGUUGCUAUGGUGAUAGGUAGUUUGUGUGUGUUUUCUAAUAGCAAAGUCCACCGAGGAGAAUCGAGCCCCUGAUUCUAGCGAAGACCGCCCACCGGUGGACAAUAGGUAGUUGUGUCACAAGUCUGAUUCAAGUUUAAUAUAAUAUAUAGACCCACAUAGAUUAUCAAGUUUGAAACGUUUAACUAUUUAUUUAAAAAUAACUUAUAGAAAAUAAGAAAUAUUGUUCCUUAUCGGUUUUCUAUCCCUGAAGUUCUUGCUUAAUACUCCUGAAAUUCGCAUCUUUUCACUUUUUGUUCAAAACCCUCACUCUCUUGUCUCCGAAGACUCCUUUCUCUUCCCAUUUUUUCUUCAAAUUUUUUUAUCCCCUCCAAACCUCGUAAUCUGAAUGCCUAAAACUCAUUUUUUUUUCUUAAAGAGUACAAUCUCGUUUUGAAAUCCCAACCUAAAACUAAAUAGUUCACUGAAAACGACUUACUAUUUUUUACACGACCUUGUCAAGCCCAACUUACACACUUGCUUAAGAAUAUGUAACACCCCGUCAAACGCGCAGCUGUUGCACGUAAUACUUACAGUAUUCUGAAUUUCUAGUAUGUGCUUUAACGAAUACCGAACACAACAUUAUUUCAGUCAUUUGAAGUAGCCGCAAUCCUUUAAAACAACUGUGUUGAUGCCCUAGGUUAAAGUGUAUCCUUGCACGCGACAGAAACUUCUAAUGAGACUCGUUAAAGUUUAUUGUGUAUCUAUAGCAUUUCGUUUGAGUGUGCGUAAGAAAAUAAUUAAAUUGUCAUUGCACGACAGGAUUCGAAGGCCGAACUUUUCAUUUUUAAGUAUUCAAUAAUUAUAACCUAGGGUCUGAGUAUUCCUCAUUUAAUAUACGUGCGUAUAUGUACAUAUACAGAAUGCAUAUGAUAUAUGUAUCUUAGUUAUUCAGGGUAAUCCUUAAUGACCCUCUCUUAUCAUUUGUUUUAUUGCUAAGAAGAUCUACGCAACGAUUGAAUGUUUUAAACGUUUUAUCAUACACGCGUGUGUAAAUACAGCUAUGCAACGAUUGAAGUGUCACAAACCUUUUAGCCCAAAUAAAUAGUCACUUAUGAUCACGUUCCAGAACAGACACUGAACUUAUACAUAGAGAACACGCGAUAAAGCCAUUUCGAUGGUCGUUUCCAGAAAACACUAUCCAUAUCAUGAAAUACAACUUGUCAAUUUCGUGAUAUAAAUUAUUCAGAGUAGAAAGACACUACAUCAUAGUUGUCUCUAGUAGUAACAUACUACAUAUUACAGUAGUAAUACAGACGGUUGACUACGUCAUAUUAAAACGAUCUUGGAUCUUCACCGCGUCGUUACAUAUUAUGUCACCACGUCAUUCGUUCUUUAUCUGAUGACCAUGCAUCUUGACAAUAACCUUUCAGUGUAGUUUUUAUUGUGACAGGAUCCGUCGUAAGACCAUCAUGUCCAAGAGCGCAUCCCAUUUUUUUAAAGUUUUUCCAUAAUCCAUUUAGGGUAGGAACGGUUUCGUAGCGCAUGUUUCAAGCCCUAUCUCACAGAAUUCCACAGAGGCGCUGCAUCAGCGAGUUGAUUUAUAUUUCUUUGUAUGGAAUAGUAUGGAUACCCGUUUCAUUUUCCAAUUGCUUGAGGUGUGUGAUGAUUGAACAGGAAGUAUGAACAGAAACCUCAUCCUGAUUACCUCGUUUACAGUGAAGACCUUCCUCAAUUGUGUUGCGUACUAUUGCCUGAGACACGUGGAUGGCUUUUGCCACUGACCUUUGUGUUUGUGGAUUCUCAUCUGUCACAAUACACCACA